rnacentral:tRNA from 1 species
UCCCUGGAGGACUAGUGGUUAGGCCUCUGCACUCUCACCGCCAGGGUCUGGCUUCGAUUCCCGGCCAGGGAA